rnacentral:miRNA from 1 species
CCUGCUGCCUAAGUGCUUAUCA